rnacentral:rRNA from 1 species
GGUAGUAGCAAAUAUUCAAAUGAGAGCUUUGAAGACCGAAGUGGAGAAAGGUUCCAUGUGAACAGCAGUUGGACAUGGGUUAGUCGAUCCUAAGAGAUAGGGAAAUUCCGUUUGCAAGCGCCCGAUCUUGGGCCGCCUAUCGAAAGGGAAUCGGGUUAAUAUUCCCGAACCGGGACGCGGAUAUUGCCGUUCGCGGCAGAUGCGGUAACGCAAACGAACCCGAAGACGCUGGCGGGGGCCCUGGGAAGAGUUCUCUUUUCUUUUUAACGAGCUUUCACCCUGAAAUCAGCUUGCCCGGAGAUAGGGUUUAAUGCUCGGUAAAGCACCACACUUCUUGUGGUGUCCGGUGCGCUCUCGACGGCCCUUGAAAAUUCGGGGAAGACAUUGAUUUUCGUGUCCGGUCGUACUCAUAACCGCAGCAGGUCUCCAAGGUGAGCAGCCUCUGGUU